GUCCAAACUAUAUAUGUAUGUAUUCUUAAAAUAAUGAAUUGCGAAAAAGAUCAUUUGCAUGAUUCUCACGAUAGGUUUUGGUUUUUCAUUCAUAACAUUAGACAGUUUAAUAAACUCUUGUGAAUAAAUAAAUACAACUGGUAUCGUGACAUCAUUAGUGCCAUCUCCAGACAUGGCGAACAUUGGUUGCGUCUCCCCGGAAGAUCCCGGUACAUUAUCACAAACUAUUAAUGCAAGGGCACCCGCUGCUUGGGCCAGACGCGCUUUACUAACAAAUGUACAAUCUCCUCUUUCGGCAAUAAGGAUUUUGCCGCUUAUUUCAGCUUUGUUUGAGGGUUCCUUACAAGCUCGAAAAGAUGUUGCCAUAAUCAAUUCAUCUUCGACAAAUCGAUCUCCCAUCUUAUAUAUCGCUGGCUAAGGGUGCAAAGUGCCUAAGUCCAUUUUUUCCAAAAAUUAGAUUUUGAUGCAGUUCGAAAAUACAUGGGUUAAAAAACAAACAAGGGAAUUUUUUUUUAAGUUGUAUAGUGUUGGUAAGCAAAAGUCUUAAGUCCGUAGUUGUCAAAAAGCGCGCGCUAAGUCCACUGAACGUACACAGCAUCAGCUGUUUCAUAGGAAUUUGGCGCAACAUUCAGUAAAGUUUGUUUAUUUGUUUUAUAAAAUUGCUCAUAAGUGGAAGAUAAUGUGUGCUGAUAAAAAUAAUAAUAUUCAACCGAAAGAAGUUGAGUGCCCUGAUUUUGGAAUUGAAGCAGAUGGUAGUGUUGUAGGACUAGUGCCUUAUGGUUUUAACAGCAGUCCAGUUCCUCCUUUUCUGAAAAAAAUAAAGUCCUUCGCCAAAGUGGUAAAAAAUACCUCGGCAAAAAAAAAAAACAAGUAACGUUUGGCAAUACAAUAACGUGAGAGACGCUAGAACUCUCAAGCAAAGAUGUAAUUGUUUGGACAAAGGUGAGACUGCAAUCAUGAAAUGCGCACAACUGUCAGAAUCAUGUAGAGAACAAAUGUUCAAGGAAUUUUGGAAAAUGUGUUGGAAACAAAAAGGAAUUACGUUAAUACUUUGAUAGAGUGUAUUCAAACUAAAAGACCUCGAAAUCGUCGCAUAGAAAACGCAUCAAACAGUCAAACACUGCAGUAUCACCUUGAAGCCAAUAAUACAAUUUUGCGUGUGUGUCGCACUCUCUUCUUAAACACAUUGGGCAUAAGCGGAAAAACUUUUUUGAAAUGGUUGACAACGCCCUUUUCUGUAUCCAAUUCAAACAAACACAACCGAGGAAUGGCUACCCAAAGUGUACAGCAGCCAGAACUAAGUAUGUUUUUCGACAGUCUUCCAGCCACAGAAUCUCAUUAUUGGCGAGCUACAACCACAAAAAAUAUCUAUUAUCAGAAUGGCAGUCUAAGACAAAGCUUUAUGAUUUCUAUAAAAAUAAUUGGUGUACUGAACACGAAAAGCAACAUCUUUCGUUUUUUAAAACCAUACGUCCUGGUCGUGGUACAGGUGAUUCGAAAGAGACAGAUAUUCGAGCACUGAAGUAUACUCCAGAUGGAGAAAUAUUUUUUAAAUUAAGAUUUCCGCAUGAAUGGAAAAUUCUUCCACAGCGCAAAUGUAUGCAUUUAGCCCCAUUAAUGUGGUCCAACCUGGAUCAGCUUUACCAUGAAAAAAGGCCUAUUUCAAAAAGGAAAUGUGAAGACUUACAAUCUUUAAAAGUAACAUUGCCAAAAGACUACCAUAAAUUUUACGACGAGUUGCCACACGAAUGAAUUGUUUUUAUUUUGAAUAAUUAGUGUUUAAGAUUUUGAUAACUGGAACAUAUGUAUGAGUGAUUUUUUUUUUUUUUUUGACAAUGAAUUGUUCUUUAUUUUGAAUAAAUAGUGCUUAAGAUUUUGAAAACUGAAACAUAUGACUGAUUUUUGUAUAUUUAAGAUAUUUAUUUUUAGUUUUAAAAAAUGUAAAAAGAAAGUGAAAUAUAAUUAAACUUGAUUAAACAAUUAAAGUUUCUAUGAACUUUAAAUAAAA